rnacentral:rRNA from 1 species
CCAACCAACCCAUAACAGGGGGAUAACCCGGAGAAAUCCGGACUGAUACCGACAUAAGACCACGAUAUCGCAUGAUAUAGAGGUCAAAUAUUUAUAGGUUAUGGACGGGCAUGCGUCUGAUUAGCUGGUUGGCGGGUAACGGCCACCAAGGCAUCGAUCAGUAGGGUUCUGAGAGGAAGGUCCCCCACAUUGGAACUGAGACACGGUCCAAACUCCUACGGGAGGCAGCAGUGAGGAAUAUUGGUCAAUGGGCGAAAGCCUGAACCAGCCAUGUCGCGUGAAAAGGAUGAAGGUCCUAUGGAUUGUAAACUUCUUUUGCAGGAGGGUAAAGUGAGCUACGUGUAGUUCAUUGCAAGUACCCUGCGAAUAAGCAUCGGCUAACUCCGUGCCAGCCGCGGC